AGACUCCUCACUGGGAGUGCCUGAAUGUGCAUCUGUGCUUCUCAACACAGCAGAGCAAAAAGCAAGACUCUGCAAGAACCAAACUCACAAUCUCACGAGCUUUUCUGCAUCAGGCUAGCUCUAAACCUGAGAAAAUCCCUUUCUUUUGCAGGUGUCCUGCCAGGGGGGCUUAAGUAGGACUGGACUGCUGAAAAGGUGGGAAGAAGAGGUGUGGCAUUUUCUGUGUGAGCACAAUUGGAGCCACCUGGCCAGGGGAUGCAGCAGAUAAGCAACCUUUCUUUCAAUGGCACAGUCACUGGGUCCUUUCUGUCUCCUCAACACUUGCCUGUUCAAAAUCGUCCUCUGUCUUACCCAAGACCUUACAGGAAAUGCAAGAAUAAGGCCAUCCAUACCAAACCCAUCAAACAGUGGAGCUGGCAGCUGCUGGAGGUGAAGAAAAAGUUUCUCAGGACCGGGGGGAAGCAGAGCCAUGAGGUUGCAAAAGUGGGGG